CGUCGGUUACUAUUCAGAAUCACAUUUUUAGUAACUAACAAAAAAGAUCGAAAAGAUCUGCAGAAAACACACUAGGAUGAGGAUUUAAGACAAAGUAAGUUACUUGAUUAUAUGAUAGUUUUUACUUUGUUGUCUGACUAG